UUCACGCAGCUCCCUCUCACCCGCAUGGAUUUGAUUUUCUUUUUAAUUCCCUCUUCUCUAAAGAAAUGAUUAUCAGAUUGUGUGUUUUUGUGAUUUAGGAGCUUAAUUUCUGCAUUUAUCCCUUUGAUCUGUGUUGAUUUUAUGUCUUUUUUUUCAUGAAAUAAACAAAGAAACAACACGUCCUGGAUUUUUGAGUUUCUUGUUCGAUAUUUUUUCCUGUUCUUUGUUUCUUUUGAUGUCAUUAACAGGUCUAGGUAAGUAAAUUAAUUUUUGUUGUCAUUAAGAGGUCUAGGCUGCUAGGGAAAUGUUUUUUUGUUGUUGCUCUCACAAUUGUUGUCUUCUGGUUUAGAAUUUACACAGUUUGGGCUAAUAGUCAGCUGUUUUAAGUCAGUAGAAGUAUGUGCAAGGUUGAUGUAGUUUUCAUUUAGUGUUUGGAUACUUUUAGUUGGGUGAAUUUGCUGAAAAGGUGGCAAAAUUCAACACUUGUAACACUGUUGUUCGAGUGGCAACGCAAGAAGUAGCAGUGAAGGCGAUAAACAACCUUUUGCGGCGAGGAUGAACAACACUGGUGGCAAAGGUGACGCAAGGAAGUAGUGGGAAUGAAAUGAACGUCGACAGCAAUGGCGAUGGUGAGGGCGAUCAAUGCCAGUGAUGGUGAAAAGGUGACGGUGGUGAUUGGCUUGUAGUGGUGGUGCUGCUUAGCAGUGGUUGGGAUCGAAGGUCAGGAUUAGUAUACAAAGCUUGCCCCUUUGCAUCUGUUCUCAGGAUUCUCGCGCAUGAAGCUGAUUUUGAUUUCUGGUGCUGAUAAAAGUUAGGGUUUUCGGCUAAGCUGAACAGCCAUUUUGUUGUUCUUGUCUUUUAUUAUAUUGUAUUUUUUUUUUUAUUGCCAUUGUAAAAUUGCAAAAGUAACAGUUAUCAAUUAUGUAUAAAUUUUAAGAGAAAUUCAAAUGUUAAAGAAAGAAAGAUUAAUAAAUCAAUUCCAUUAUUUGAC